rnacentral:rRNA from 1 species
GACGUAGGGUCCGAGCGUUGUCCGGAGUUACUGGGCGUAAAGGGCGCGUAGGCGGCCUUAUAAGUCAUGUGUGAAAGCUCUGGGCUCAACCCAGGAAUUGCAUGUGAUACUGUAAGGCUUGAGUUCGGUAGAGGCAAGCGGUACUCGAUGGGUAGGGGUAAAAUCCGUUGAUCCAUUGAAGACCACCAGUGGCGAAGGCGGCUUGCCAGAACGCGCUCGACGGUGAGGGAUGAAAGCUGGGGGAGCAAACCGG